UCAACAGAGCAGGGCUGAAGACAGCACCGGGCCUGUUCCUCUUGCAGUUCAGAGGUUCCUCCGCUCGGCCCCUAGAGGGCAGAAGCGCCAAUGCACGGCGAUCAGAGCCAUGCCAAGCACACCUAGGCUUCUAGAACAGAUGAAGAUCUGGUUGCUACGGCAACAUGGGUUGCAUUCCUGAUGGAUGGUCGUGUGACAGGCUGAAUAAUGGCCCCCACAGACGCGCACAUCCGAGUCCCCAGAAUCUGUGAAGAUGUUACCUUAGUUGCAAAGGGAAUCUGCACAGGAGAGAAUAGCAGUGGAAUCAGACUGAGCCAAGAAGCUCUGCCCUCACUGAUGUGGCUGGGCAUCUUCUAACCCAUUGAGCUGGAGGAAGGGCACACUUGCUUCUGCUCCAGAGAGGACAUUGUCUUCUGCUGGGUGUCAGAGCCUCAGGCCUUUGGACUCCAGGACUUACAGCAAGAUGACUCCUUCCCAGCCCCUAGCCUUUGGCAUGGGACUGGAAGUUACACCAUCAGCUCCUCUGGUUCUCAGGCUUUGGGACACAGACUGAAGUACACCAGGGGCUUUUCUGGGUCUUCAGCUUGUAGAUGGCAUAUUCUGGGUCUUAGCCCCCAUAAUCACAUGAGCUAAGUCCCAUAAUAAAAUCCUUGUUUUA